CAGCAAUGAAUCCUCCAAUGUACCUGACUCUCCCUUUGCGAAGAGCAUCUCCUCUGUGGCAGAAAUCUGAAAAUGCCCCUGGGGAGACACAUGCACAAGACAGUUCGUGAGCCACACAUCUCCCCACACCAAGCUCCUCCAUACAAGACCUCGGACUGCAUCACGUAAAUGCUUUUUCAGGGGCAAAAUCUAGAGAAUCUGAAACGGUGGGCCUUUUUCUUUUUCUUUUUUUUUGAGAUGAGGUCUCACUCUGUUGCCCAGGCUGGAGUGCAGUGCAGUGGUGUGAUCUUGGCUCACUGCAACCUCCACCUCCUGGAGUCAAGUGAUUCUCCUGCCUCAGCCUUCAGAGUAGCUGGGAUCAUAGAUGACCGUCCCCAUGCCUGGUUAAUUUUUGUAUUUUUAGUAGAGACAGGGUUUCACCAUGUUGGCCAGGCUGGUCUCGAACUUCUGAGCUCAAGUGAUCCACCCACCUUGGCCUCCCAAAGUGCCGAGAUUACAGCAUGAGCCACCAUGCCCAGGUGUGAGCCUGUAUCUUAAUCAAAGUCCUGAGAAUAACCUUGAAGAAGACUCCCUUGCAAUGAGGAACAACAGAAGAAGCAAGGGACCUGGAAUCUGGCAGACCUGGGUUUGAAUUCUGGCUCUGUCACUUUCUGGUGAAGUGACUUGAGUAAUGAACAUGAGGCUUUCUGGGUAGCGUUUACAGCACAAAGCAAUUUGAGGAAUAAAUGAAAGAGCACAUGUCUAGUGCCUAGCAAUGCGCUGGACACAGUGCCGGUGCUCAGCCAUCAUGUCACACCAGCACUGACCGGUGAGCAUAAACCCUGGGGAUGCCCAGAGCUGGUACAGCCAGGAGCUCCAGAAGCGUGGGAUUCUCAGAGGGAAGUGGAGCUCACUGCUCUACAGGUCCUGUUCAAGUUAGAAAGUAAGAUACAAUGCACACAAAGCCAAAUUGUCAUCAUUCAGCUCCUAUUACAGGGGAACUAAGAGCUGCAUUGAAAAUUACUUGCAAAGCUUGUAAGUGGUUCUGCCACUUAUUAGCCAUGUGAACCUUAGCAAAUUACCUAGCGUCUCUGAGUUUCAACUUCCUCAUCUGCAAAAUAGAAAUAAUAACCGCAUCGCAAGAGUUGUUGGAAAAAUGAAAAUGAGGUAUCAUAGGAGGUAACAUGUAUGGAGCAUUUACCAUAUGCCAAGCACUGUUCUAAGAACUUCGGACAUGUUAUCUCACUUGUAUAAGUACUUAGGUGCCUACAACAUAAACAGCACCUGGUAAAUUAAGUAUUGAAAAAAUGCUAUGGGGCAGAGGAAGAAAUGCUAAGCCUCUGUGAGAAGAGAAGACAGCUUGUUACACAGGUGAAAAGAACAAGCUGCAGCUGAGAGAAGAAAAGUAUAAGAGUUGCUAGGUGUGACAAUCUCAAGACUUUUCAACCACUACAAAUUUAAACAGCCACCCUAAAUCACCCCAAAGGACAGACUCGAGUUGUUCUUUUUGUCUUUAAUGUUUGCGCCUCUCCGAAUCAGAGAAGAAGCUGCCAGGAUUCCAGUACAUACCAAAACAUGAUGACAAUAACCUCAACUGUGCAAACUUUUGUGCAUCUACUGCUGUGUAAAGGAAGCUGAUGUCAGUAGACUGGGGGGAACAGUAAGGCAUGUUUGUGACCGAAGCUCAAUUUGCCAUCAGUGUGGCCACACCUACCUCACUAAUAUUCUAAUAGUGGGAUAAAUAAUUCAAUAGGGAUAAAGCCUGGAUUUUCCUCUUAUUCUCUCUUAGUGCUUACAUUCUUGGCAUGAUAUCGAUGUGCCAUAGACAAGCCAAUAUGUGAGUGUACUCUAUCUGAAUAAAUAUAGCCUUUCUACAUGGCAAAGUCAUCCAGUUUCUAAAAUUAUUGUUAGAACCAAUGAAGUGACUAAGAGAAUUUUAAAAAAUAAGCCAUCAGUCUAGACCUGUGUAUAGGAAUGAAGGAGAAGCACUUUAAAGUCAGGGAAAAAAUAUAAACAUACUUAACAUUUAGGAUUAUCAACCAUUGCUGCUUUUCCAUAAACCAUUUCAUUCAUGAUUUCAUCUGUAAGAGAUAUGAUUAUUGCCCCCAUUCAGUGAGGGACUUUGAUAGUUAGCCGCCUGGUCCUUCUUGCUUGGAUGCCCUGCAAAUAAAUGUCCUCCUUUCCCCAAUGCAAAACCUCGAUAUGGUUGUUUGACUUUACUGCGCUUGGGCCAGAAGAAUCCAGUUAAGUCCACUAAUAAGCUCUUGGCCCGUCUUUGAGAUGGAUUUCAGAUUCAAAAUAGACUGACCCUAUCACCCUGCUAAUUUGGUCAGUCAGUAUUUGUCAGUAACAUAGAGGCUUCAUUCAAGAGGUUUACUGGGUUGUAACUAUUGGAACCCAGGGAUGAUUUCAGGAUUUUGUGGGGCCUGAGCCUUAUCUAGUAAAAACAUUAAAAAAAUUAUGAAUACCAAAAUUUCCAGGGGCCCUCCCAGGACCUUGGAAGGGCCUGUGCAAGUGAGAAGCCUGGAAGGUUAGGCUCUAUUCAAUUCAUCAUCGAUCAACAACAGCUGGGGCCUCUUUUUUUGUUUGUUUUUUACAAACUUGUGUAAUGCAGGGAAAUAUAUUGUUUCAACUUACAAACACCACAAAAUGGUGUCAUAUUGGUCAUAAAAUUACUGGCACCUUCCCUUGGCAUCUUGCCUUUGGAAAGAAAUGCAGUGGGCCUAUAUGUCACAUAUGCCAAAUAUGACUCUGCAGUGUAGCUUUGUUUACCAGGAAGAUUUGACUCCAAAGGAGCCCAGCCCCUAACAUACACUUGGUGUGUUGAGACCCUUGUGCCAAUCUUUGAAAGUAACUGUGACUUAGUUUGAAGGGUACAGCUCUGUUUAUACGAAAUGAGUGCUAGUUUCCAAUAUCAGCUAGCUCUGAUUUUUUCAUCACCAUGAAGCAAAUGCCUUUUUCUGUUGUUUAAGAUGAACACAGAAACUCAAGAUAAGCAAGUUAGUGUCUCCUCAAGUCUUUCUUAACCCAGCCCCCAUUCCUGCUUUGUCCUCUCCUUGUCACCCUGCCGUACAGAUCCCCACAUGGCUCUCAUUUGUUUUCCCAUCAGCAUCCGCUUCCUCCUUGAGGAAUGAAAGUCCCCUGGGGACAAAGUCCUCAUCUUGGUGUGUCUUUGAGAUGGAUUUUGUAGCCCCAGCACUUAGUACAGUACCUGGCACAAAUGGACAUGGCACUCUGAAUGUUUUUGAGUGAAUUCAUUAAUUUUUAUCAACUGUGAUUCCAGUGUUUUCCUGGUCUACAUAAUUGUAGUGAAGCUGGCUAGAUGAUGAUGAUGAUGAUGAUGAUGAUGAUGAUGAUGAUUUGAGACAGAGUCUCA